UUUAUUUUCUAGAUGUCACUAAAAGCAGUGGACACGCAUACAUACACACACCGUCGUCAACGGUGGUGUGCUUACAAGAGCAAAUGACCGAAGAAGUCUUACUUGUUUUAUACAGUGUUACGAACUGUCCUCUACUUUUGGCAAUUAUGAGGCUUAAAGUCUAAAAGUUUAAGAAGAAGUGACUGAGGACAUUUCAUAAAGGUUUACCAAUAAUUUCGACAAUGGGCGUAACCCCGAGUGAUUUAAUAACUCUGAACAGUUUCAACUGGCUGAGAUUACAGCAGGUUAUAUAUUUUUCUCUCUUCUGGAUAAUAGUUUUUGGCUUAUUUGCUGUAUUUGUCUUUAUCAUAAUUUGGGGCUUUAGCAAACUGAAAGCCAAAGUUUUACCAAAUGAAACCCAGAAAUCCAAAAUUAGGUUUCGGAAGCGAGAUAAAGUUUUAUUUUAUGGGAGGAAAAUGCUGAGGAAAGUAAAAACUUUUACGAAAAACAAUGUAUUAGGUCCCAGAGGUCGAAUGAAAAAGCGGCAGCUUGUAUUGAAACUGGCAAGAAGGCUUCUUGAACACAAGAAAGAGAAUCAUCCAAAAUUGCUAGUCAAAGAACCUCCACGAUCUUUCUUGGAGGUUGAUUCUUCUGAACAGGAUGAAUCUGAUCACAGACUUCCUUCUGAUAUUUUGUAUAUGCUCAGAAGUGUUAGGGUGUUUGGACAUCUUCAAAAAGAUUUGUUUUUAGAGCUUUGCCGAGAUUUUGAACGAAAGUUUAUACCAGCAAAUAGUUAUCUGUUUCGCAUUGGUGACAAUGACGACAGUAUAUACGUAGUGGAAAGUGGCAAAAUUCAUGUCUGCUUUACCGAAAGUGAUGGAAUGGAUUAUUUAGUCAAAGAAGUACAGACUGGUGAAAGCAUUCACAGUCUCCUCAGUAUUGUUGAUGUGCUAACGGGUCACCCGUCACCAUUCAAAACAGUAUCUGCUAAGGCUGUUGAAAAUACACAUGUUCUCAGAUUACCUGUACAGGCGUUUCAGUCUGUAUUUGAAACCUACCCAGACUCUUUAGUCCGUGUUGUACAAAUUAUAAUGGUUCGGUUGCAGAGAGUUACAUUCUUGGCUUUACAUAAAUACCUUGGUCUCUGCACUGAACUUAUUAACCCGUUGGUGUCUCAAGACGAAAAUGUGAAAAACUUGAAUAUCUAUUCCUUGCUCAAUAACAGCCAUGGAAGUCCUCAGAGAUCCAUAAGCUUAAAAGACCACCAAUCCACACCAUUAUUAAACUUGCCAUGUCAGGAUGUAACUUCAUCUUUAGAAUCAGAGACAAUUGAUUAUUCAUCUGAGAAAUCUUCUGGAUAUGCACCUAAAGAGAAUUAUUUACAAAGAUCAACUUCAAUGUGCAGUUCUGUAUCAGCUACCAGUGAUUCUAUUUCUGUUGAAUUUGAUCCUAUAUUUGGUCGAUCACAAACCUCAUUCCAAAGAAAUGUUGCUGGGGGGCUUGCACCCGUACAACUGAGUGAUGAUGAAUUAGCAAGGCAAAGAAUGAAUAUCAAGAGACAUGCAUCACUUCCAAUGGGAUAUUCACUUUCUGCAGGACGAACAUUAAUGGAUGUGAAAAAACUUGAACUGAUUCAAGUGGAUUUGAGUAAUCUUUUCAAACUAAAGGAUCCAAGUUUAUUGGAUGAUAAAAUGACCCUCAAACAAUUUAAAGCUGGAACCAUCUUGCAGAAACAAGGCGAUCAAGAUUGUAACUUGUUUUUUGUUGUGUCUGGUACAUUAAAUGUCUCUCAGAAUUUGGUAGGACAUGAAGAAAAAGAGACAUUGCUGUUUAGUGCAGGUCUUGGUCGUCUUGUUGGUGCAUUAGCUGUGUUAACUGGAGAACCAUCUAUGUUUACUGUACGAUCAAAGACGGAGUCAGAAGUAGUACUCAUAUCCAAAGCAGAUUUUUACUCAAUAAUGAAAAAGCAACCUUCCAUAGUACUUCAAGCAGCCCAUACUAUUGUCAAGAGAAUGUCUGCCUUUGUGAGGCAAAUUGAUUUUGCUUUGGAUUGGACAAUGCUAGAAGCUGGUAAAGCUUUGUUCAGGCAAGAUGACCCGUGCAACUCGAUCUAUAUCAUCCUGACUGGGCGUUUACGAUCAAUCAUUACUACUCCAAAUGAUAAGAAAGAACUGGUUGGAGAAUAUGGCCGUGGAGACCUUGUUGGCAUUGUAGAAGCAUUAACCCAGACCCAACGAGCUACAACAUUGAUGGCUGUGAGAGAUACUGAACUUGCUGAUAUACCAGCAGAAUUAUUAAAUCACAUUAAAAGAAAAUACCCACAGAUUGUUGCUCGUCUCAUUCAUUUGUUGGGGCAGAGACUGCUUGGUAGUCUUCAAAGCAGAUCAGCCCCACUGAGUAUAGAGAACCGGCUCUUAGUUUCAAACCUUUCAACUGUUGCUGUUGUCCCUGUCUCACGUGAUGUACCUCUUACUAAUUUUGUCCUGGAACUACAACAUGCUCUCAAUGCAAUAGGUCCAACUGCUCGGAUCACUAGUGAGAUAGUCAGUGCAAGAAUUGGUAGUUCUGGAUUUAACAGUUUGAAUGACUUCCGUUUGUUCAGCUGGCUUGGACAACAUGAAGAUAUUAAUCGAAUGGUUUUAUACCAAUGUGAUAAUACAAUGACACGAUGGACUAAGCAUUUUGUGAGGCAAGCUGAUUGUAUCCUAAUUGUUGGUGUUGCCACAAAUGACCCCACAUCAUUGGGUGAAGUUGAAACACAGUUGGAAAACAUAGCUGUUCGAGCUCAAAAAGAAUUAAUUUUGCUACAUAAAGAAGGUACUGAUACACCUCGCAGAACAGCUGAUUGGUUAAAUGCACGUGGUUGGUGCUCCUCGCAUCAUCAUAUUCGUUGUCCCAAGAGAGUGUUCAGUAAGAAAAAUAAAGAAAAAACAUUAGAAACAUAUAAGAAACUAUUUGAAUCAGAGCCAGACCGUAUGUCUGAUUUUGCCAGACUAGCACGGUUCCUCACUGGUACAUCAAUAGGUUUGGUGCUUGGAGGAGGUGGUGCUCGUGGGAUAUCUCAUAUGGGGAUGAUCCGAGCCAUGGCAGAAUCUGGAAUACCUAUUGAUAUUGUAGGAGGUACGAGCAUUGGUUCCAUAAUGGGUGCCAUUUGGGCUGAAUCUCAAGAUGUUACCAGAUCAGUACAGAGAGCACGCGAAUGGUCUAAUGAAAUGACUUCGUUAUGGAAGAAAGUUCUUGAUCUUACCUAUCCUGUUACGUCCAUGUUCACAGGAUGUGCCUUUAAUAAAAGUUUGGAAAAUGUAUUUAAAGAUCGUCAAAUUGAAGAUCUUUGGAUACCCUACUUUUGUGUCACCACUGACAUUUGCUCUUCUUCAAUGAGAGUACAUACCACAGGUUCUCUUUGGCGCUAUGUUCGAGCCAGUAUGUCUUUAUCUGGAUACCUUCCACCUCUUUGUGAUCCAAUUGAUGGCCAUCUAUUAUUAGAUGGUGGAUAUGUUAAUAACCUUCCAGCUGAUGUGAUGCGUGCUAAAGGUGCUCAAACAAUAUUUGCUGUUGAUGUAGGCAGUCAAACUGAAGAUGAACUCACAAAUUAUGGGGAUGAACUCUCAGGUUGGUGGCUUCUCUGGAACCGCUGGAAUCCAUGGGCAAAAAAUGUGAAGGUACCAGACAUGAAUGAAAUCCAGUCUCGGCUAGCAUAUGUAUCGUGUGUGAGACAACUUGAAAUGGUGAAAAAUAGUGACUACUGUGAAUAUGUGAGACCACCAAUCGACAAAUUCAAAACAUUACAAUUCGGAAGCUUUGAUGAAAUAUAUGAAGUUGGUUACCAUCAUGCUAAAACACUGUUCAGUGGCUGGAUCAAAGGAGGAAUUUUAGAAGAUCUUUUCAAGGAAAAAUCAGAAGAAAGAAAGUUCAAAAAGAAAGCAUCGCCAUUAUUUCAGGCUGAUAUGAGCCUUUUACAAGGCAGGAAGUAAAGUGGUGAUCCUAAAAUUACAGGCCAAGGAUAUGUAUCUACUCCAUUCCAACUCCUACCAUCAAUGCCUACUGUGGCUAAUUUCACUGAUCUUGCUGAAUUGGUCAGCAAGAUAGAAGAUCAUGCUGUUAACUAUAGUUCUGAGAGUGAAGAGGAAGUAAUUCAUGAA
rnacentral:misc_RNA from 1 species